UGACAAUUGUAGGCGGGCCAAGAGUAGUC
rnacentral:piRNA from 1 species